GCUGUCCUGAUAGUUUAAAUAAAACACCGGCCUUGUAAACCGAAGACUGUAGCGUGAUACCUACUCAGAACUCGCCUUAGAUACACCACCAACUGCUUGGCCCUUAUAGCUUAACCAAAGUAUAGUGCUGAAAACACUAAGAUGAGACCUAAAAAACUCUAAGCGCACAAAGGCUUGGUCCUAACCUUUUUAUCAACUCUCUCUAAACUUACACAUGCAAGUCUCAGCACACCUGUGAGGACGCCCUAUCUACUUUACCAGAUAUAGGAGCCGGCAUCAGGCACUUAAACCCGCCCAUUACGCCUAGUCCCACCACGCCCCCAAGGGCCCCAGCAGUGAUAAACAUUGUCUAUUAGCGAUAGCUUGACCCAGCAGUAGAGAAGAGAGCUGGCUAACUCGGUGCCAGCCGCCGCGGCUAAACCGCACGAGCUCAAGUUGAUAAACGUCGGCGUUAAGCGUGCUUAAAGAUAUAAACCAGUUAGAGUAAAAUUUACACUUAGCCGUGAUAAGCCCGUGUUAAAGAAAACCAAAUACGAAAGCUACUCUAAUACACUGAA
rnacentral:rRNA from 1 species